GUGUCAGCCGCCGCGGUAAUACGUAGGUGGCAAGCGUUGUCCGGAAUUAUUGGGCGUAAAGGGCGCGCAGGCGGCCUGUCAAGUCUGUCUUAAAAGUGCGGGGCUCAACCCCGUGAUGGGACGGAAACUGGCAGGCUGGAGUGUCGGAGAGGAAAGCAGAAUUCCUAGUGUAGCGGUGAAAUGCGUAGAUAUUAGGAGGAAUACCAGUGGCGAAAGCGGCUUUCUGGACGACAACUGACGCUGAGGCGCGAAAGCCAGGGGAGCAAACGGGAUUAGAUACCCCGGUAGUCCUGGCCGUAAACGAUGGGUACUAGGUGUAGGAGGUAUCGACCCCUUCUGUGCCGGAGUUAACGCAAUAAGUAUCCCGCCUGGGGAGUACGGCCGCAAGGCUGAAACUUAAAUGAAUUGGCGG
rnacentral:rRNA from 1 species